AUUGAAUGCUGGCGGCAUGCCUAACACAUGCAAGUCGAACGGGGGUAGCGAUACCCUAGUGGCGGACGGGUGAGGAACGCGUAGGAAUUGGCCCACGAGUGGGGGACAACCUGGGGAAACCCAGGCUAAUACCGCAUACGCUCGCGAGAGGAAAGCGGGGGAUCUACGGACCUCGCGCUGGUGGACAAGCCUACGUCCGAUUAGCUAGUUGGCAGGGUAAAAGCCUACCAAGGCGACGAUCGGUAGCUGGUCUGAGAGGAUGAUCAGCCACACUGGGACUGAGACACGGCCCAGACUCCUACGGGAGGCAGCAGUGGGGAAUAUUGGACAAUGGGCGCAAGCCUGAUCCAGCAAUGCCGCGUGGGUGAAGACGGCCUGCGGGUUGUAAAGCCCUUUAAGCGGGGAGGAACGCCGGAACGCGAAUACCGUUUCGGACUGACGUUACCCGCAGAAUAAGCACCGGCUAACUCCGUGCCAGCAGCCGCGGUAAU
rnacentral:rRNA from 1 species